AGAGUUUGAUCCUGGCUCAGGAUGAACGCUGGCGGCGUGCCUAAUACAUGCAAGUCGAGCGAACAGAUGAGGAGCUUGCUCCUCUGACGUUAGCGGCGGACGGGUGAGUAACACGUGGAUAACCUACCUAUAAGACUGGGAUAACUUCGGGAAACCGGAGCUAAUACCGGAUAAUAUAUUGAACCGCAUGGUUCAAUAGUGAAAGACGGUUUUGCUGUCACUUAUAGAUGGAUCCGCGCCGCAUUAGCUAGUUGGUAAGGUAACGGCUUACCAAGGCAACGAUGCGUAGCCGACCUGAGAGGGUGAUCGGCCACACUGGAACUGAGACACGGUCCAGACUCCUACGGGAGGCAGCAGUAGGGAAUCUUCCGCAAUGGGCGAAAGCCUGACGGAGCAACGCCGCGUGAGUGAUGAAGGUCUUCGGAUCGUAAAACUCUGUUAUUAGGGAAGAACAAAUGUGUAAGUAACUAUGCACGUCUUGACGGUACCUAAUCAGAAAGCCACGGCUAGCUACGUGCCAGCAGCCGCGGUAAUACGUAGGUGGCAAGCGUUAUCCGGAAUUAUUGGGCGUAAAGCGCGCGUAGGCGGUUUUUUAAGUCUGAUGUGAAAGCCCACGGCUCAACCGUGGAGGGUCAUUGGAAACUGGAAAACUUGAGUGCAGAAGAGGAAAGUGGAAUUCCAUGUGUAGCGGUGAAAUGCGCAGAGAUAUGGAGGAACACCAGUGGCGAAGGCGACUUUCUGGUCUGUAACUGACGCUGAUGUGCGAAAGCGUGGGGAUCAAACAGGAUUAGAUACCCUGGUAGUCCACGCCGUAAACGAUGAGUGCUAAGUGUUAGGGGUUUCCGCCUCUUAGUGCUGCAGCUAACGCAUAAGCACUCGGCUGGGGAGUACGACCGCAAGGUUGAA
rnacentral:rRNA from 1 species